rnacentral:rRNA from 1 species
UCGAGAAUCUUCGGCAAUGGGCGCAAGCCUGACCGAGCGACGCCGCGUACGGGAUGAAGGCCUUCGGGUUGUAAACCGUUGUCAGUGGGGAGGAAAUGUCGGUGGGUUCUCCCAUCGAUUUGACCUAUCCGCAGAGGAAGGACGGGCUAAGUUCGUGCCAGCAGCCGCGGUAAGACGAACCGUCCAAACGUUAUUCGGAAUCACUGGGCUUAAAGGGUGCGUAGGCUGCCCGGUAAGUUGGGUGUGAAAGCCCUCGGCUCAACCGAGGAAUUGCGCCCAAAACUGUCGGGCUCGAGGAAGAUAGAGGUGAACGGAACUAAGGGUGGAGCGGUGAAAUGCGUUGAUAUCCUUAGGAACACCAGUAGCGAAAGCGGUUCACUGGGUCUUCUCUGACGCUGAGGCACGAAAGCUAGGGGAGCGAACG